rnacentral:rRNA from 1 species
GACAGAGGUGCCAAGCGUUAGGCGGAAUCACUGGGCUUAAAGCGUGUGUAGGCGGAUUGGUAAGUACCUUGUGAAAUCCCACAGCUCAACUGUGGAACUGCUCGGUAUACUGCUUAUCUUGAGCCACUUAGGGGCUGUCGGAACAAACGGUGGAGCGGUGAAAUGCGUAGAUAUCAGGAGGAAUACCGAUGGCGAAGGCAGGUCUCUGGGCUGACACUGACGCUCAUGCACGAAAGCGUGGGGAGCAAACAGG